UAAUCAGAAAUUCAUAACCGUUACAAUAGCUAAUAACUUGAUUAACUUUUAAGUUACAAAUGAAAACUUCUAAAUG
rnacentral:tRNA from 1 species